rnacentral:rRNA from 1 species
GAGUUUGAUCCUGGCUCAGGGAUGAACGCUAGCGGCAGGCUUAAUACAUGCAAGUCGAGGGGCAGCGGGGUAGCAAUACCGCCGGCGACCGGCAAACGGGUGCGGAACACGUACAGAACCUUCCUUUAAGCGGGGGAUAGCCCGGAGAAAUCCGGAUUAAUACCCCAUAGUAAUAUUUGAUGGCAUCAUUAGAUAUUUAAAGAUUUAUCACUUAGAGAUGGCUGUGCGGCUGAUUAGGUAGUUGGUGCAGGUAACGGCUCACCAAGCCUUCGAUCAGUAACUGGUGUGAGAGCACGACCAGUCACACGGGCACUGAGACACGGGCCCGACUCCUACGGGAGGCAGCAGUAAGGAAUAUUGGUCAAUGGACGAAAGUCUGAACCAGCCAUGCCGCGUGAAGGAUGAAGGUCCUCUGGAUUGUAAACUUCUUUUAUAGGGGACGAAAUGCAUUUUUUCUAAAGUGCUUGACGGUACCCUAGGAAUAAGCACCGGCUAACUCCGUGCCAGCAGCCGCGGUAAUACGGAGGGUGCAAGCGUUAUCCGGAUUCACUGGGUUUAAAGGGUGCGUAGGUGGGUCUGUAAGUCAGUGGUGAAAUCUCCGGGCUUAACCCGGAAACUGCCAUUGAUACUAUAGAUCUUGAAUCUUCUGGAGGUUAGCGGAAUAUGUCAUGUAGCGGUGAAAUGCUUAGAUAUGACAUAGAACACCAAUUGCGAAGGCAGCUAACUACAGGGGCAUUGACACUGAGGCACGAAAGCGUGGGGAUCAAACAGGAUUAGAUACCCUGGUAGUCCACGCCCUAAACGAUGGAUACUCGACAUUUGUAAUACACAAUAAGUGUCUGAGCGAAAGCAUNAGUAUCCACCUGGGAAGUACGAUCGCAAGAUNGAACUCAAGGANUGGCGGGGUCCCACAACGGUGGANCAUGUGNUUAUUCNAUGAUCNCGAGAACUUACUGGCUAAAUGCANUGGACUGGUGAACUCCUNCCCCAGGGCCAUGUAGNGCUNCUGCUUCCCACUCUGCCUGAGGUUGGUAAUCCCACACCACCCUUCAAUUNCUCAGAACUGAACUUUGANUNCCCUAACCNGAAGGGGAAUU